UGUGGGGAAAGGGAGGGCUUGCAGGGGUGCCCUGCCUGCAGGAGCAGACCUGGCUCCGUGUUCCUGCUCCUGCAGCAAGGUGCUUGGGUACAGCCAUGCCAAAACAACAUCUGCAAAGAGUCUCCUGACAACAAUGCCCGAGCAAGGUGGGAAAAAGGAAAUCAAAGAGCAAGUUCUUUGCAGAUGACAGAAAACACCCUGCAAAGAGAGUCUUUAAACAUCUGAGGUUUUGCUCUUGUGGCCUCAGAAACAAUCCUUCCCAUCACGCAAGCCCGUGCCGAAUGCUUUAGCAUUCCAAGGGGUUGCAUUGUCCUGCCUGAAUAAAGCCAGCAGCUAUACUGGAGCCUACCUGGAAGGUGUUAAAGAGAAAUGGAGCUUGUCUUCAGCGAGUGCCCUGAUACCACCACCACAAACAGGCAGGAGGAGAAGAAGGUAAUGGCCAGCUGAUUGCCAGCCUGAGAUUUGCUUUUGCUCCUGACAAUUAAAGCAGCAUCCUGAGCUGAGAAAGACCCAGAAGUUCCCACCAGGAUGGACCGCAGCUCUCAGAUAAGGCACAGGGCACUCUCUCAAUAAAAGGUUUCUCAUCCAAAGCCUUGACUGAGGCAUCUGGGGCAGAGUGUCAUCUGCUCUCUUCUGCGAGGUUACCGUCGCAUUUUCAGACAUCGGUAUUGGAAUCAGCAUGAAAGACUUUAAUGUUUAGUGAAAAAUGAGAAUACAAUGCUGAAGGCAAAGGGGAUAUACCAUAAGGAGUUUUGUAUAAGACUGAUCAAAAGCAAGGCAAAAAGCAUCCCUGGUGUGCA